AGGUGGGAGGAUUGCUUGAGCCCAGGAGGUGGAGGUUGCAGUGAGCUGAAAUCAUGCCACUGCACUCCAGCCUGGAUGAUAGAGUGAGACCUUGUCUC
rnacentral:miRNA from 1 species